AAAAAUUUAGUUAAUCCCUAUAACAUUAGCUUGUCAAGUUAAAAUAACUCAAAAUAAAUGAGUAAUUUUUG
rnacentral:tRNA from 1 species